ensembl:lncRNA
CUAAGAUCCACAAACCAUGGUUUCCAUGCUUUGGCUGCUGUAUAUGCAGGUACCACAGAAUGCUUCCAUUCCUUGGGCUCUUCAUCUGAAAACUACGUGAUCUGUACCAGUCCUCUCUCCCUCUCAGAGUCAUUACAGAUGUUGCCUCUCUUCCUCAGCUGGGGCAGAGGUGAACCAUGCUGAGCAGGAAAGGGGUAAGAAGGUACUGUCUUUCAAAUGAGGCUCCCCUGCUGGCUGGCUGUGACAAGAACAGCCUUGACAAAUCCUGAGCCAAACUUUGUAUAUCCCAUGUCUGUUCCUUAGGCUAUUUGGCCUGCCCCUCUAUAGUCACAAGCCUGGGUGGGCAUUACUGUUGCUCACGAAUAUCUCCUGUCCUCUUCCCUCCCUAGGCACUAGAAGACUGUUUCCCAGUCUCUGUGUAGUCAAGUGAGGUCAUCAAACUAGUUUUGGCCGAUGGAUUACACUGGAAGUAAUGUAUGUCACUUCCAAAAUCAAGCUGGUGCUCCUGCCUCUCAACUCGCAGUUUAGUGGGGACGAGAGACAAGCGAACCAACCGUUAACACCUGAGUCAGCAGCCUGUGCUAAAUGGCAUAUUGGAAGGAUGUAACGGCUGUGGCAUCAGAGGAAGCUUCCUACGGGAGGUAUUUGAACUGGAUUUUGAAGACAUACAAAUGAGGGCAGGGAAGGCAUUCCCAGCUGCAGGAAUAGCAUGUAAGUUAUGGAGGGAGAAUGGUGCAUUCAGGAAAUCAGAUACUGUGGUAUGGGUCAAAGGUGUAGCAGAUAAAGCAGAAGAGGGAGGCGGAAAACUUCUUUUGAAGGGCCUUGAUUGCCAUAAUUUGGAUUUUAUUCUGGAGAUAUUUGGUCAAAGGAUUUUAAGCAGAGGAGGGACUGAAUCAGAUUUGCAUUUUAGAAAGCUUCCUGGCAGUACCAGCUCCCUCUGACAGAAAUGAAGAGGGAAGCUAUUCAUAGUGUUGGUCACCCGUGAAGCUGUCCUUGGGACAUGGGAACUCCAAGGACCAUGGAAGAAGACUGGAGGGCAGGGCAAGGAGAGAGUCACACGGGGCCUCAAGCAGCAUAAGGGUUUGCAUUGUAUAGAUCAGGUGAACCAGAAAUGUACUGCCCAUCUGUGAUCUCCUGACUUCACUAAAGGCCUGCUUGACUCCCUAGUCUUUUUUUUUUUUUGUCCAUAUCACAUCAGGAUCUUAGUUCCCUGACCAGGGAUUGAACCCAUGCCCCCUGCAGUGGAAGCAGUGGAAGUGUGGAGGCUUAACCACUGGACCAUCAGGGAAGUCCCUUGACUCACUUCUGCUACCCUUGAACAAGGGAAAGCUCCCUGGUGUAUUCUUUGGGGCACUGAAGUCAGGGAGGAGUGUUUUACUGCCCAGGGGUAACUGCGGGGUCAGGUGUGGCAGACCCAGUGCAACCCUAGAGGUCAUUGGUUUUCUUUUGAUAAGGGAAGAUGACACUUCUUUACUAGCUACCUAGUGGAUAUUCAGA